rnacentral:misc_RNA from 1 species
GAUGAAGAACGUAGCGAAAUGCGAUAAGUAAUGUGAAUUGCAGAAUUCAGUGAACCAUCGAAUCUUUGAACGCAAAUUGCGCCCGAGGCUUCGGCCAAAGGCAUGUCUGCCUCAGCGUCGGCUUCACCCCUCCCCUCCCUUUCUCUUUUUUCCACAAAGAGAGAAAGGCGAGGGGGACCUGGUUGUCUCGGCCCUCACCGGCCGGGUCCGCCGAAGCACAGAGGCUCGAGCAGGACCCCGCUUACAUGGGCAACAGUCUGGUAGGCGACCUCCCCGGUCGCAUGCCGCUGGUGCCUGGGGCGCCUGCUUCGUCGAGCCCGCAGGAAGUGGCUGCUUGCCACGCCUUCACCCAUUCGACCUGAGUUCAGGCAAGAGCACCCGCUGAACUUAAGCAUAUCAAUAAGCGGAGGA